CCUACGGGUGGCAGCAGUAGGGAAUCUUUCACAAUGGGCGAAAGCCUGAUGGAGCAACGCCGCGUGCAGGAUGAAGGCCUUCGGGUUGUAAACUGCUUUUAUAAGCGAGAAAUAUGAUGGUAACUUAUGAAUAAGGAUCGGCUAACUACGUGCCAGCAGCCGAGGUCAUACGUAGGAUCCGAGCAUUAUCCGGAGUGACUGGGUGUAAAGAGUUGCGUAGGUGGCAUAAUAAGUAGCUAGUGAAAUCUGGUGGCUCAACCAUUCAGACUAUUAGCUAAACUGUUAAGCUCGAGACCGUUAGGGGUAACUGGAAUGUCUAGUGUAGGAGUGAAAUCCGUAGAUAUUAGAAGGAACACCAAUAGCGUAGGCAGGUUGCUGGGACGGUUCUGACACUAAGGCACGAAAGCGUAGGGAGCAAACGGGAUUAGAUACCCCAGUAGUC
rnacentral:rRNA from 1 species